rnacentral:rRNA from 1 species
UACAGAGGGGGCAAGCGUUGUUCGGAAUUACUGGGCGUAAAGGGCGCGUAGGCGGCCUUCUAAGUCGAACGUGAGAUCCCCGGGCUCAACCCGGGAACUGCGUCCGAUACUGGAAGGCUUGAAUCCGGGAGAGGGAUGCGGAAUUCCAGGUGUGGCGGUGAAAUGCGUAGAUAUCGUGAGGAAUACCAGAGGCGAAGGCGGCUACCUGGACAAUUGCUGACGCUCAGGCACGAAAGCGUGGGGAGCAAAAGGG